ACAGAACUACACUUUCCAACUCUCCCCACACGACCCGUGACACUCUGUGGACCGCGAGCACGGAGCAGGGUUUCUACAGCUGCUCCCCACUUUCUCGGACCCGGUCCUGGACCCAGCCCCCGACUCCGACACGGCUCCACCAUGGAGGAGGCGGACCGAAUCCUCAUCCAUUCGCUGCGCCAGGCCGGCACGGCAGUUCCUCCAGAUGUGCAGACCUUGCGCGCCUUCACCACUGAGCUGGUUGUAGAGGCUGUGGUCCGCUGCCUGCGUGUGAUCAACCCUGCGGUGGGCUCUGGCCUCAGCCCUCUGCUGCCUCUUGCCAUGUCUGCCCGGUUCCGCCUGGCCAUGAGCCUGGCUCAGGCCUGCAUGUGAGCCUGACCUCCGAGACCUGCUUCUCUUCUUGGCUGAGCGUCUGCCCACCGAUGCCUCUGAGGAUGCAGACCAGCCUGCAGGUGACUCAGCUAUUCUCCUCCGGGCCAUUGGGAGCAAAAUUCGGGACCAGCUGGCACUGCCUUGGGUCCCGCCCCUCCUUCGCACUCCCAAGCUGCAGCACCUCCAGGGCUCAGCCCUCCAGAAGCCUUUCCAUGCCAGCAGGCUGGUCGUGCCAGAAUUGAGUUCCAGAGGCGAGCCACGGGAGUUCCAGGCGAGUCCCCUGCUGCUUCCAGUCCCUACCCAGGUGCCUCAGCCUGUUGGAAGGGUGGCCUCGCUCCUCGAACACCAUGCCCUGCAGCUCUGCCAGCAGACGGGCCGGGACCGGCCAGGGGAUGAGGACUGGGUCCACCGGACAUCCCGCCUCCCACCCCAGGUAC
rnacentral:sRNA from 1 species